rnacentral:snoRNA from 1 species
GUGCAUUAUUAAAAUCAAAUUUGCGUGGGGACCCGGUGUGCAAUGGCUGCAAACAGCAGCUUCCUUGGUAGUGUACGCAGCCUGUUUCUUGUAUAGGUUGCUCUAGGGGACCUUGGAGACAGCC